CUGAGGCUGAGCUCCGAGCUUCCGAGCUUCCGGUCCGGCCCCAGGUCCUGAACGCAGACCUAGCCACAGAGGGGGAGGGGCAGCCCAUUGCCUGACCUUUAUGCAGUGUCAUCUGACUGCUGGCACAUAGUUGAUGCCCGAGAGAAGCCAUUACAAGAGAUGAGCCGGACGUGGACGAGGCCGCUUCCGAGUGCCGCCGCCUCAAUGCCCUUGGGGUACCCCCAGGCACAAUCACUCACUCCUGAGGCCCCCUGGGCAAACAUCUGUCGCUACUUUGUGUUGCAAUCUGCUUACAGGUGUUGAGGCUGGACCCAGGCACCGCCCUCAGAUGCGGCAGUCUGCCCCUGGAUUCCUCAGGAGAAAGAACUCCCCGUCCACCGGAGGAAGAACACAGAGUUCCUCUGUGCACCCCUCUGCCAUGCCCGUCGGAGGGUGCCCUGACACCCUGACGCCUGGGAGCUUGUGAGUGAUGGCGGCCCCUGCUCAGACCGCACAGUGCCACAAGGGAGCAGCGGUGGCGACAGGUGCUGUGGUGUGUGCUGUGAGCGGGAAGUGUGGACAUGUCAGCCCCGUGGCCGUGCCCUGCCUCUGAGAAAGGGCACAGCUCUCAGCGGUGGGGGCAGUGCGAACAGGCCCAGACGUGAUCUCGAGGGAGAUAGGAGUCCCCCAGGCCGUCAGUGAAGUCGUCCUGGAGACACCACA